ACUCCUACGGGAGGCAGCAGGCGCGCAAAUUACCCAAUCCCGACACGGGGAGGUAGUGACGAAAAAUAACAAUACGGGACUCUUUUGAGGCCCCGUAAUUGGAAUGAGUACACUUUAAAUCCUUAACGA
rnacentral:rRNA from 1 species